AACGAACGCUGGCGGCGUGGAUAAGACAUGCAAGUCGAACGGAAUUACUUUUGUAGCAAUACAGAAGUAAUUCAGUGGCGAACGGGCGCGUAACACGUGGGCAAUCUGCCGAGAAGUGGGGGAUAGCUCGCCGAAAGGCGAAUUAAUACCGCAUGUGGUGAGGGAAGACAUCUUCCUGAAUCCAAAGCCGGGGUAACCUGGCGCUUUUUGAGGAGCCCGCGGCCUAUCAGCUUGNGGUGAGGUAACGGCUCACCAAGGCUUUGACGGGUAGCUGGUCUGAGAGGACGACCAGUCACACUGGAACUGAGACACGGUCCAGACACCUACGGGUGGCAGCAGUCGAGAAUUUUCUCAAUGGGGAAACCCUGAAGGAGCGACGCCGCGUGGAGGAUGAAGGCUUUCGGGUUGUAAACUCCUGUCAUUU
rnacentral:rRNA from 1 species